rnacentral:rRNA from 1 species
UACGUAGGGGGCCAGCGUUGUCCGGAAUCAUUGGGCGUAAAGCGCGCGUAGGCGGUCAGGUAAGUCCGGUGUGAAAGUCAAAGGCUCAACCUUUGAAUGCCGCUGGAUACUGCUUGACUUGAGUCCGGAAGGGGCGAGUGGAAUUCGUGGUGUAGCGGUGAAAUGCGCAGAUAUCAGGAGGAACACCAAUGGCGAAGGCAGCUCGCUGGAACGGUACUGACGCUGAGGCGCGAAAGCGUGGGGAGCAAACAGG